GUAUUAGAGUUGUUAUACUCAUUGAUGUAGACUGAUACUGAUGAUACAAGAGUAUGAAUGAAAAGGAAGAGAGGAGACACCGAGAUGUCCUCCUUCCCCGACAAUGCACACAAGGUGGGUAAUGGAUUUGAAAGUGCCAUUGAACACUUAUUGUGAAUGAUCCUUCCGCAGGUUCACCUACGGAAA
rnacentral:misc_RNA from 1 species